rnacentral:rRNA from 1 species
AACAAACGCUGGCGGCGUGCCUAACACAUGCAAGUCGUACGAGAAAGGGUCCUUCGGGGCCUGAGUAAAGUGGCGCACGGGUGAGUAACGCGUGGAUAAUCUGCCCUUCAGUUGGGAAUAACUCAUCGAAAGGUGGGCUAAUACCGAAUAAUGCUGUGAGACCUCGGUUGAUCAGCCAAAGAGAGCCUCUGCUUGCAAGCCCUCGCUGAAGGAUGAGUCCGCGUACCAUUAGCUAGUUGGUAGGGUAAUGGCCUACCAAGGCGACGAUGGUUAGCUGGUCUGAGAGGAUGAUCAGCCACACUGGAACUGAGACACGGUCCAGACUCCUACGGGAGGCAGCAGUGAGGAAUCUUGCGCAAUGGGGGCAACCCUGACGCAGCAACGCCGCGUGAGUGAGGAAGGUCUUCGGAUCGUAAAGCUCUGUCGGAUGGAAAGAACCGCAUAGGGGUAAACAGCCCCUGUGUCUGACGGUACCAUCAAAGGAAGCACCGGCUAACUCCGUGCCAGCCGCCGCCGUAACAC